rnacentral:tRNA from 2 species
GCUCCCGUAGCUCAGGGGAUAGAGCACCGGCCUCCGGAGCCGGGUGCGCAGGUUCGAAUCCUGCCGGGAGCA